rnacentral:lncRNA from 1 species
GGGUCAUCUUUUACUGUAGAAUAUUGAAAGAAACUAUAUCUAGCUGCCUCAUGUUGAAUAUCACGAGGAGGAAAAAAGUCCAGUGAUGAUAGAGUGAAGAUUCACAUUUAUGAUGUGAUCUCAUUGUCUAAUAUGCUUAUCAAGUGUGUGCUCAGUGGAAUAGUUAAUUCCGACCCUUUGUGACCUCAUGGACUGUAGCCCGCCAGACUCCUCUGUCCAUGAAAUUUUUCCAGGCAAGAAUACUGGAGUGGGUAGCCGUUUCCUCUGCCAGGGGAUCAUCUUUCCAACCCAGCAACCGAGCCUGUGCCUCCUGCGUCUCCUGUGUUAGCAGGCAAAUUCUUUACCACUGAGCCUCCUGGGAAGUCCAGUGCGCCUCACACGCUUAAAAAAGCUUGGGAAGACUCAACAGAAGCCUAGAAGAAUAAAAAUUUUCAAUGGCCAGACUUGGAAGAUGGGAGAAUUGUACGGAGAAUGUGGCCAAAUAAAGGGUUGUGGCUGGCCACCCAUUCAACUCAGCCCUUGUCCCCUGACCCAGUAACAAACUCCUUGUCAUUUUUUAUUCUGGGAAUCGUAAGGAGAAGUGUUCACACACGAGUCAUGCUAAUUACUGGUUAUGAGUGAGAAUAUAGUGGAAAGAUGAUGAUUCUUCUCCGUUAUACACUAAGAACAGAGAGAAAGUGAAGAUGGCUCUAUAUGGAGCUGCUC